rnacentral:rRNA from 1 species
GUGGGGAAUAUUGGACAAUGGGGGGAACCCUGAUCCAGCCAUGCCGCGUGUGUGAAGAAGGCCUUUUGGUUGUAAAGCACUUUAAGCGAGGAGGAGGCUACCGAGAUUAAUACUCUUGGAUAGUGGACGUUACUCGCAGAAUAAGCACCGGCUAACUCUGUGCCAGCAGCCGCGGUAAUACAGAGGGUGCAAGCGUUAAUCGGAUUUACUGGGCGUAAAGCGCGCGUAGGUGGCCAAUUAAGUCAAAUGUGAAAUCCCCGAGCUUAACUUGGGAAUUGCAUUCGAUACUGGUUGGCUAGAGUAUGGGAGAGGAUGGUAGAAUUCCAGGUGUAGCGGUGAAAUGCGUAGAGAUCUGGAGGAAUACCGAUGGCGAAGGCAGCCAUCUGGCCUAAUACUGACACUGAGGUGCGAAAGCAUGGGGAGCAAACAGGAUAGAAACCCCAGUAGUCC